UGGGGAAUAUUGGACAAUGGGCGAAAGCCUGAUCCAGCCAUGCCGCGUGUGUGAAGAAGGUCUUCGGAUUGUAAAGCACUUUAAGUUGGGAGGAAGGGCAUUAACCUAAUACGUUAGUGUUUUGACGUUACCGACAGAAUAAGCACCGGCUAACUCUGUGCCCGCAGCCGCGGUAAUACAGAGGGUGCAACCGUUAAUCGGAAUUACUGGGCGUAAAGCGCGCGUAGGUGGUUUGUUAAGUUGGAUGUGAAAUCCCCGGGCUCAACCUGGGAACUGCAUUCAAAACUGACUGACUAGAGUAUGGUAGAGGGUGGUGGAAUUUCCUGUGUAGCGGUGAAAUGCGUAGAUAUAGGAAGGAACACCAGUGGCGAAGGCGACCACCUGGACUAAUACUGACACUGAGGUGCGAAAGCGUGGGGAGCAAACA
rnacentral:rRNA from 1 species